GCCGGGCGCGGUGGCUCACGCCUGUAAUCUCAGCACUUUGGGAGGCUGAGGCGGGUGGAUCACCUGAGGUCAGGAGUUCGAGACCAGCCUGACCAACAAGGUGAAACCCCGUCUCUA
rnacentral:SRP_RNA from 1 species